GGCGCCUUCGUCUAGCGGUCCAGGACGCCGCCCUUUCAAGGCGGAGGUCGCGGGUCCGACUCCCGCAGGUGUCACCA
rnacentral:tRNA from 1 species